AUUGAACGCUGGCGGCAUGCCUUACACAUGCAAGUCGAACGGUAACGGGCCUUCGGGUGCCGACGAGUGGCGAACGGGUGAGUAAUGUAUCGGAACGUACCUUUCAGUGGGGGAUAACGUAGCGAAAGUUACGCUAAUACCGCAUAUUCUGUGAGCAGGAAAGCAGGGGAUCGCAAGACCUUGCGCUCUGGGAGCGGCCGAUGUCGGAUUAGCUAGUUGGUGGGGUAAAGGCCUACCAAGGCGACGAUCCGUAGCGGGUCUGAGAGGAUGAUCCGCCACACUGGGACUGAGACACGGCCCAGACUCCUACGGGAGGCAGCAGUGGGGAAUUUUGGACAAUGGGCGCAAGCCUGAUCCAGCCAUGCCGCGUGAGUGAAGAAGGCCUUCGGGUUGUAAAGCUCUUUCGGCCGGGAAGAAAUCGCAUGGGUCAAUACCCCGUGUGGAUGACGGUACCGGAAUAAGAAGCACCGGCUAACUACGUG
rnacentral:rRNA from 1 species